rnacentral:rRNA from 1 species
AUGGGCCGUUGGUUGAAGCCAGAUGUUUACCCGCUGAUCGGCGCGAUGUCGCUGGUGACGGGGAUGUGCGUCUUCCAGCUCACCCGGAACGUCUUCCUCAACCCAGACGUCAGGGUGAGCAAGAGCAACCGGCAGAGCGCGGUGCUGGAGAACGCGGAGGAGGGCGAGAGGUACAGCCAGCACGCCUUCCGCCGCUUCGUCAGCGCGCACCGCCCGGAGGUCUUCCCUGCCAUCAACCGCUUCUUCUCAGGGUUCAGCGCCAAGUGA